ACACCCAUACAUGUUUUUUGUGUGAUUCUAGGAAAUCUGUUACCCUACUUUCACAGUGUAUGCCCUGUCUCAUGAGAAGUAAGUAGUUUUCCAAGAUUUUCAAACGGGAAAGUUGGAAGGUUUUAGAUGUCCUGCUAUCUCAGUCUGAACAGCACAAGGCUUUUAGACAGGAACUGUGUUCAAGCCACUCCCAGACAUAGCAAUAUUUGCUGACAAUAUCUCCAAGUACCUGCAUCUCACACCGUUUAACUCAGGCUCAAUCUAAACAAUCGUGUCUGCUCCGCCUGAGCUAUCUCAGCUAAUAUUUACUGCAGACUCACAAGAUGGAUGACAGCAGACAUGUGGGAAAUCUUGAGGCUCCAUGAUUUCUAAGAAAUUCUUAUGUUUUAAAACAUCCACUAAUACUCAUUUGCCAGCUGGGUCUGAUGGUACAGGCCUAUAUAGGUGAUAUGAAAAUCUCUUUGUAUUUUAAAUAAAACAUUAAUUUUCAAAGGACUACGUAAAAUAAAACUCUCCCCCCACCCGCAGUUCCCUCACAUGUACAUAAAAUAGUGUGGAGGCCUCAUGGUAUUUGUGUCUAAGUUAUGGAGUUUACUAAGGCUCACAUCCAAGAGAGUUUAUUUAUAUACUGCUAGAGUCUGAAUAUAAUAUGAAUGUGUAAAAGCUUAUUUCCCUCUUGACAGUGUUAAGAAGUCAGCCCUAGCACAACAUAACUUGCCAUUGAAGGUCCCAUUGCUGGAUGAGAUUGAUGAAAGCAGGUCUUAUGGGACCCUAGGUAGUUCCCUCACAAUGAAGUUCUUACACUAUUUUUAUGGCUGAAACAACUUCAAGUACUGCCAAUGGAAUCUACACAUUGCAUUUCAGGAAUUUGACUCCAAAGAACAUGAAAGCGAUUGACAGCCUCAACAGACAUUUUUGGCAUGCUGAGAUACCGUCGUAAAUGACUCCCCUAGACUGCAGCAUAGGUUGUUUGUUUUUUGUUACAUGCAGGUCCCAACGCUUAACAACAGCCAGCAGAAACCAACUGGGAAUACGAAGAUCUACCAGUGAUGGAUUCUGAGGAAGUGAGGUCAAAUUCAAGACUCAACAGAACCGGGGGCUCUAGGCUCUGCUGCUCACCAGUGCCUUAUGCCUUCUGUGAAGCUUUAUUCUGGAUAGCUCAGAGUUCAAAGCAGGGAGAGAAACAACAACUAUACAGAGUAUUUCUCACUGUCAGUAGACUUGCUCAAGAGACAGAAGACCUUGACUGAAUGGGAACUAUUUACAUAAUGUUCUUGAGCACACCAAGUUGCACAGCUGGGGGUGGGGGCAUCUUGCCCUUGGCAUUCCUUGGCAGAUGGAAGUGUUCUUCCCAGUGGAGUAAACAAAGUUCUAUGAGAGCAGAGUUCACACAG